rnacentral:rRNA from 1 species
ACUCCUACGGGAGGCAGCAGUGGGGAAUAUUGCACAAUGGGCGCAAGCCUGAUGCAGCCAUGCCGCGUGUGUGAAGAAGGCCUUCGGGUUGUAAAGCACUUUCAGUCGUGAGGAAGGUAGUGUAGUUAAUAGCUGCAUUAUUUGACGUUAGCGACAGAAGAAGCACCGGCUAACUCCGUGCCAGCAGCCGCGGUAAUACGGAGGGUGCGAGCGUUAAUCGGAAUUACUGGGCGUAAAGCGCAUGCAGGUGGUUUGUUAAGUCAGAUGUGAAAGCCCGGGGCUCAACCUCGGAAUAGCAUUUGAAACUGGCAGACUAGAGUACUGUAGAGGGGGUAGAAUUUCAGGUGUAGCGGUGAAAUGCGUAGAGAUCUGAAGGAAUACCGGUGGCGAAGGCGGCCCCUGGACAGAUACUGACACUCAGAUGCGAAAGGCUGGGGGCAAACAGGAUUAGAUACCCCUGGUAGCGACUGA